rnacentral:rRNA from 1 species
AUUGAACGCUGGCGGCAUGCUUUACACAUGCAAGUCGAACGGUAACAGGGUGCUUGCACCGCUGACGAGUGGCGAACGGGUGAGUAAUACAUCGGAAUGUACCCAGUAAUGGGGGAUAACGCUCCGAAAGGAGUGCUAAUACCGCAUACGCCCUGAGGGGGAAAGUGGGGGACCGCAGGGCCUCACGUUAUUGGAGCAGCCGAUGGCUGAUUAGCUAGUUGGUGAGGUAAAGGCUCACCAAGGCGACGAUCAGUAGCGGGUCUUAGAGGACGAUACGCCACACUGGAACUGAGACACGGUCCAGACUCCUACGGGAGGCAGCAGUGGGGAAUCUUGGACAAUGGGCGAAAGCCUGAUCCAGCAAUGCCGCGUGCGUGAAGAAGGCCUUCGGGUUGUAAAGCGCUUUUGUCUGGGAGCAAAUCUUGACCUCUAAUACAGGUUGGGGAUGAGAGUACCAGAAGAAUAAGGACCGGCUAACUACGUGCCAGCCGCCGCAGUAAUAC